rnacentral:lncRNA from 1 species
CUGUUGCCAUGGCUGCUUGUCAUUGAUAGAAGGACUCACGGGCUUGGAUUGGUUAGAAGGCUAAACGGAGUCAAGAAACUUCCUCCAGGUAUGGGGUUCUGGUCAGUGCCUUGGACAUGUGACUUAAGGGGAUAGCAUGAAUGCCUGUAGAUCAUGGAAAUCGGGUGGACUGCAGAACCAUUUGGAGGAAGUGGCUGGGGGUUGGGGAUCGAUUUGGUGGUGGUAUUUUACCAACUCUGGUCUCUUCCCCUGAAAUCAGAGUAAUGCAGCUAUGCCAAAACCCAGAGAAGAGCCACACUUAGCUUCUGCUUUUGGGAAAACUGGUCAGCUAAAGCCCCGGUAGUUCCUUUGCGGCUUUCUGUAUACUUUUGCCUGGUUGAAGUCUGUGGCUGAAAAAUAGUUGAACCUUUCCUGAGAACUCUGUAACAAAGUAUGUUUUUGAUUAAAAGAGAAAGCCAAUUAAAUCAUUAUGUGCUCAUUCUUUUUCUUAAGCUCGUGGAUGUCUUGAAUCUGGAAAGAGUUCCUAAUCACUGGGAGAAUUCUCAAACUUGAGGACGACCGUUUCCUUCACUGCUUUGUGACCACUGAAAUGGAAUAUACAGCAUUUCAGAUAUGACCGUGCAAGAAGAGUCCCCAUUCUUUUCCCAUUUCUAAAAGGAGACAGGGUGGAGAGAUGGUGGUUGGAGAAGAGGAGGAUGCUAGGGGAUGAUGAGAACCAAGAUGCUUAAAGGAGAGGCAGACACUGGAAAUCGGAGGCCAUGUCAUUGCCCACCUAAGAAUUAAGGAAAGCUAUUAGCUCCCUAGUUCCCUCUUCUCUAAAAAGGGAAGCAAGGGGGGUGGGGGGCGGGAGGGGGAUGAGAUCAGGUAAGAUGACUCUAUGGCAAUGACUUAUGAAUUGCAUGACCAAAUCAGUAUUUUCUUUCUGAUCUUGCUGACCUGAGUUCCAGAGAUAUUUAUUAGGCUGAGAGACUUGUUCUCACCUCACCUAAAGUUUAUGGUAUUUUAUUUUAAAAGGUUAGAACUCAAAGGGGGUAGUAGAUUGACAUUCUUUGGGAAAAAAUAAAAACUUUUUUUGUGAAGCACUUAAGGAUAAAGGGCAGUUGUAUGUAUUCAUCUCUGCCCUUUGCUCUUGAAUCCUAAUUCUUUCUGCUUUAUUCCAUGCCCUGCCUCAUCAAAAGUCCCACAAAUGGUAACCUCAAAACCCCAAAUCCCCUUCAAACCCUUUCUUCCCCCAUCAACGUGCUUUUCCUUCACCCCUUUCUGUUCUAAAAGAGGAAUUAUUUUUGGUUCUCUGCCAUACUUUGGGGAUGGCACCCACUUCUAUAUUUUGAUGUUCUGUUGAACUACCACUUGGUCUCAGACAGAUAGAAUAGAUUCAGAAGACCAGAGAAUUUUAUCUCCAACAGAUACACCCUGAAAGAAUGGCUAAAGGAAGUUCUCUAAAAAGAAAGGAAAUGAUAAAAGAGGAGAAAUGGAAACUUUGGGGGAAAAAAAAAAAACACAUGGUAAGCAUAAAUACAAAAACAGUAGGCUUUCCUUUUCAUCUUGAGUUUUCUAAAUUUAUAUUUGCUGAAGCAAAAAUUAUAACACUGCCUAUGCCUAAGGUAAUUCUAAAUGUAUAUAGCGGGAAUAUUUGAAACUACUGACAAGGCUGUAUAAAGAGACAUUCAGAAAUACUAAAGAUAAAAUGCAAUUAUAAAAAAAGCUCAAGUAUCUUACAAUAGGCAGAAAAAAAAGCAGAAAGUUAAAAUGGCAGACUAAGCUUUAACAUACCAAUAAUUACAUUAAAUAUAAAUGGUCUAAAUAUGCUAAUUAAAAGACACUUAUUGGCAAAUUGGAAUAAGAAACAUGAUCCAAGGGCGCUUGGGUGGCUCAGUCAGUUAAGCGUCUGCGUUCAGCUCAGGUCAUCAUCUCCAGGUCCUGGGAUCAGCUGGGAGUCAGGCUUCCUGCUCAGCAGGGAGUCUGCAUCUCUCUCUGUCUCUGUCUCUCUCUCUCUCUCUCUCUCCUCCUCUGCCCCUCCCACCACUUGUUGUCUCUCAAAAAAAAAAAAAAAAAA